AAAUUGAAGAGUUUGAUCAUGGCUCAGAUUGAACGCUGGCGGCAGGCCUAACACAUGCAAGUCGAGCGGAAACGAGUUAUCAGAACCUUCGGGGGACGAUAACGGCGUCGAGCGGCGGACGGGUGAGUAAUGCCUAGGAAAUUGCCCUGAUGUGGGGGA
rnacentral:rRNA from 1 species